CCAGAACGGCUGGAUCGUUCUGAGACUGCGGCCACCGGGCGCGCUGUCGUCAAGAUGGCGGCUGCGGCGGUUGCGGCCGCGGCAGCCGCAGCUGCGGCUGCAUCUCUGCAGGUGCUAGAGAUGGAGAGCAUGGAGACAGCCGCCGGCGGCUCAGCGGGGCUGGCUGCCGAAGUCAGAGGCAGCGGCACGGUAGACUUCGGGUCCGGGCCCGGCUUAUCUGCCCUGGAGGCGAACGGGGGCGAUCCGGGCCCGGAGGCCGAGGAUUUCGAGUGCAGCUCUCACUGCUCGGAACUGUCGUGGAGGCAGAACGAGCAGCGGCGCCAGGGCCUCUUCUGCGACAUUACGCUGUGCUUUGGUGGUGCCGGAGGCCGCGAGUUCCGGGCCCACCGCUCGGUGCUGGCCGCCGCCACUGAGUACUUCACGCCCCUGCUUUCGGGCCAGUUCUCCGAGUCCCGCUCGGGCCGGGUGGAGAUGCGCAAGUGGAGCUCCGAGCCCGGGCCCGAACCCGACACGGUGGAAGCCGUUAUCGAAUACAUGUACACCGGGCGCAUCCGCGUUAGCACGGGCAGCGUGCACGAGGUGCUGGAGUUGGCGGACAGGUUCCUAUUAAUUCGUUUAAAAGAAUUUUGUGGAGAAUUUCUCAAGAAAAAACUUCAUCUCUCUAAUUGUGUGGCCAUUCAUAGCUUAGCUCACAUGUAUACCCUGAGCCAGCUCGCUCUGAAAGCUGCCGACAUGAUCCGGAGAAAUUUCCACAAAGUAAUUCAGGACGAGGAGUUUUAUACUUUACCUUUCCACCUCAUUCGAGACUGGCUGUCGGACUUGGAAAUUACAGUGGAUUCGGAAGAGGUUCUCUUUGAAACGGUUCUGAAGUGGGUUCAGAGAAAUGCUGAAGAGAGAGAGAGGUACUUUGAAGAACUUUUUAAAUUGCUCAGAUUGUCCCAGAUGAAACCCACUUACCUUACUCGGCAUGUCAAACCAGAGCGGCUGGUGGCUAAUAACGAAGUAUGCGUCAAGUUAGUGGCGGACGCUGUGGAGAGGCAUGCCCUGAGAGCCGAGAACAUACAGUCUGGCACGUUCCAGCACCCCGCUUCUCAUGUUUCAUUGUUACCUCGCUAUGGGCAAAACAUGGAUGUGAUCAUGGUUAUUGGAGGCGUGUCAGAAGGGGGAGACUAUUUAAGUGAAUGUGUCGGAUAUUUUGUCGAUGAGGACCGAUGGGUAAACCUGCCCCAUAUUCAUAAUCACCUGGACGGACAUGCUGUAGCAGUAACAGAGUCCUAUGUGUAUGUUGCUGGAUCAAUGGAGCCAGGGUUUGCUAAAACUGUGGAAAGAUAUAACCCCAAUUUGAAUACGUGGGAACACGUUUGCAGCCUAAUGACCAGGAAGCAUUCUUUUGGGCUAACAGAAGUCAAAGGGAAACUCUACAGCAUUGGAGGACAUGGCAACUUUAGUCCUGGCUUUAAAGAUGUAACUGUUUAUAAUCCCGAGCUUGAUAAAUGGCACAACUUGGAAUCGGCACCAAAGAUUCUCCGAGAUGUCAAAGCACUGGCCAUUGAGGACAGGUUUGUGUACAUCGCCGCCCGGACUCCUGUGGACCGGGACACCGAGGACGGAUUAAAGGCUGUAAUUACUUGCUAUGAUACGGAGACGCGACAGUGGCAGGAUGUGGAGUCAUUGCCACUGAUUGACAAUUACUGCUUUUUCCAGAUGUCCGUGGUUCACUCAAACUUCUAUCAGACAGCAUCAUGCUGUCCCAAGACUUAUUCUCUAGAAAAUGAAGAGGCAGUAAGGAAAAUUGCCAGCCAAGUUUCCGAUGAGAUCCUUGAAAGCUUACCUCCAGAAGUCCUGAGCAUCGAAGGAGCAGCCAUUUGCUAUUACAAAGAUGACGUUUUCAUCAUUGGAGGCUGGAAAAACAGUGAUGAUAUUGAUAAGCAGUAUCGGAAAGAAGCCUACCGAUACUGUGCUGAGAGAAAGAGGUGGAUGCUCCUUCCUCCCAUGCCGCAGCCUCGCUGUAGGGCCACGGCUUGUCACGUGAGAAUCCCAUACCGGUACUUGCAUGGCACACAGAGAUAUCCUAUGCCUCAAAACUUAAUGUGGCAGAAGGACCGGAUCAGACAGAUGCAAGAAAUACAUCGGCAUGCCCUAAACAUGCGGCGAGUGCCAAGUUCUCAGAUUGAAUGCUAGGUUCUCUAAUACGUGCAGCUUAUAACAGUUAUACCAGUUUUGUGAGGCUGAAGAUAUCCAUCCAGACUGUUACUUGAAAAAGUGUGUCGAUAACUUAUUUUCUACCUGAACGGAUUAUUGCCCCAUAGAAAGGAAAUAUAGCUGAAAAACUGCAGAGUGGGAAACUCAGUUCAACACGUGCAGGCAGCCUAGGCCAUGGGUGAAAAGAAGGGGGUAAGUCCUUCCUUGCAUGAUGAUGUGUGCAGGUUUUCCUGACUACUGAAUUUCUAAUUUUCAUAUUUGAAUUCACACGUGUGACUUCACAUCAAUAACUUAUGUUUCUGAGGUAUCCGAACUAACUUGUUAAUCAGGAAAGAAACCAGAUUUGCUUAAAUCUGUUCAAGGCUGACAUUCUGAAAUUUUCAACUGGAAAUAACUUCCUGGCGUAUUUGGAAAGGUUCUGAUUAUGACCAGCCUAAAAUGGCUGUUUGGGAAAGAAAUUUCCUUUUUUGAUGAAAACUUAAAGAUUGUGCUUGAUAAUUUAAGCAGUUAAAAAGACAGCUUUAAAAUGUAUUUAAGCAAACUUUAAAAUUUUUUUUUUGGUUUUGUGGAACGCAGAGAGGAAUUGAUUAUACAAAAAGUAAUAACAAUACAUAACUUUGAAUGAAGCUGCUUUUGUCUCAUAACGGAUAUCUUUUAACUAUACUUACCCACUAUGGUUAAAAAAAAAUCAGUGGUAUAUAUUGAGAAUGUCAGUCAUGAGCUUACUGUUUAAGUAUCUCACAGUUAUUUGCAUGAUUAGUCUUGUGUAUCUUGGUAUUCAACUUUGCUUUUGCUGUGCCAAUUCAAAAAUCUUUUUCUAAAAAAAGUUCAGAAUUCAUUGACAUCAGUUUUGUUUCGAUCAGUUGGUUUUGUAUAGUAGUUCUGGGACCAAAACAUUUUAACAUACCGACUUUUUAAAUAUAGAACAGAUGUUUGGAGCUGGAAAGACAGUGUUUAUGGAAGAUUUGUGUGCUUUUAUAUGUUAAACUCUUUAGGCUGCUGGUAAGGCAGUUUCUAGGGCACACUUUUUUCCUCUUCAUGUUUCUUGACUAGUGUAGCAUGUGGUGUGUUUAAAUACUUUAUUCUCUGCUUCAUAAUUCUAAUAUGAACACUAUACUGUAGGUAGACAGGUAAGCUAAAUUGUGUAUUUUAGUUACUUGGCCUAAUGAAGCAUAACUAAAGGGACUCUUUUUGUACUUUCCUCAAGUUAAGCUUAAAUAAAAAGUGUAUAUUGGCCAACUUUUGUGUCCUUGGAAAACAUACAGAAUUGUGAAGCAAGUUCUCUGCAUACACUAGAAAAAUAGGGUGCUGAUAGGUUGCUGUUUAACUGUAGUAUAUUUGAGAAACAGUUCAGUCUCCUUUUUUAACUGUUAAACAAUUGGCACAGUUCAUCACUCCAGUUUAUUACUUUCUUGAGAAUAGUCCAUUUUUGUUUUUGUUACAAUGCUUACAUUAUAAUGAGUUCUGGUCAUUGGAAACAAAAGAGCUCAUAGUUGAGUGAUGUGAUACAAUAACAAUAACAUAAUAUAGUAGUCAUUUUGCUUCGAGGAAUUUAGAUAGCCAAAUAACUGCUAUUUGUUGCUUACCUUUGUAGGGCUUUUGUCUUACGCUAUAUGACCAUUACUGCGAAUUUCUGACAGUGAAGCACAUAUAGUAGAGCACUUGCUGUUAACUUGAUCCUCCUGCAUAAUGCACUCGUGCAAAGUAGUGCUUGCUAGAUGUUUGAAGAUCUUAGGAUCCCUGUGCUAGGGCUCAUUGAGUUAUCUGUAAAAUAAAUAUGUAGUUCAAGCUGAUAUACAGUGAAUUUUGGGGGCCAGCAGUAUCCAAGCUCCUACUUUACUGAAAGUAUAAUUGUGACUAUCUCCCGUCAGUCAGAGGAGAUGUGGAAUUUAGGACACUUUGAGACAUUGCAUUGUAAAAUAGCUUGUUUUAUGUUUCUAAAGCUAUCUUGUUCUGUGUUAAAUCAUCUCAAUGUAAGUUUUAAAUAAAUGUAUUUCAUUAGAGCUGG